rnacentral:lncRNA from 1 species
UGGAGGCUCGGAGCGGCGGAAUGGCAAAAUGCAGAUGAUUGCUAGAGGUUUGCAUUAGUAAUUAUACAUAAAAGUUUAAAAGGUAUGAAUAUAUUAUCAAUUGAUUUAUUGAAUAAGGUUAUGGAUGGACCAUUCAAAAAUUUAGAGUUCAAAUCAUCUCAUCCUCAUAUUUUAGUAGCUUAUAUUUUUGGUUGACUUACAAAGAAU